UUUUUUUUUCAAGCUACAUAUGUACAUGUGAAGGUGGCUCAGAUCUGUCCAACUCAGUCCAUGGAAUUCUCCAGGCCAGAAUACUGAAGUUGGUAUCCUUUCCCUUCUCCAGGGGAUCUUCCUGACCCAGGAAUCGAAUUGGGAUCUCCUGCAUUGCAGCCAGAUUCUUUACCUACUGAGCCAUCAGGGAAGCCGUUUUUUAGCUAAACAAAUUCUUAAACCUUUUAUUGUACAGGCCUUCUGCAAGCCUCUGGGAAGAAGACCCUCACCAAGAACUAUAUCUGUCCCGGACUCUGACCUUGGAGAUAACCUGAAGUUGCAAGAAAGGACUUUGAGCAAGUAAAACGCCUCUAGCCGUGACUAUCUUCAUAUUCCCAUACUUCGGAAACUGGAGGUGUGCGAGAGACCCUGAAGCCCAGAGUUGGUGUCGCUGGUCACGUUUGGACAUCGAUAGAACUUCUGGG
rnacentral:lncRNA from 1 species